rnacentral:rRNA from 1 species
CAACUCCGGUUCAGUGGCGGACGGGUGCGUAACACGUGAGGAACAUGACCUUCGGCGGGGGAUAGCCGGCCCAACGGCCGGGUAAUACCGCGUACGACCUUUCGGGGACAUCCCUGGAUGGUGAAAGCAGCAAUGCGCCGAUGGAGUGCCUCGCGGCCUAUCAGCUAGUUGGUGGGGUAACGGCCUACCAAGGCGACGACGGGUAGCUGGUCUGAGAGGAUGGCCAGCCACAUUGGGACUGAGACACGGCCCAGACUCCUACGGGAGGCAGCAGUGGGGAAUAUUGCGCAAUGGACGAAAGUCUGACGCAGCGACGCCGCGUGUGGGAUGACGGUCUUCGGAUUGUAAACCACUGUCGGGAGGGACGAAUACGCCGCAAGGCGGGUGACGGU